CUGCAUUUUUAUGCAUGCUCAAAUCUUUACAGUUUUUGCAUAAAAUAAAUGUAUUCUAAAAUGCUACACUAUAGGCCUGCCUCCUUAGCCGCACCCCCUCACUCCAGAAGAAGACUUCCUUAUACAUACUAAAAAAAUGUACACGGCUCAGCCACUGACAGCACUGAAUGGUCUGAACUACAAAGCAACCUGCAUUUAGAAGGAGAGGACACCCAGGGAGACUUAUAGUAAGG